rnacentral:rRNA from 1 species
CCUACGGGAGGCAGCAGUAGGGAAUAUUGGACAAUGGGUGCGAGCCUGAUCCAGCCAUGCCGCGUGCAGGAAGAAGGCCUUCUGGGUUGUAAACUGCUUUUGCCGGGGGAUAAAAGACCCAUGCGUGGGGAAUUGAAGGUACCCGGUGAAUAAGCCACGGCUAACUACGUGCCAGCAGCCGCGGUAAUACGUAGGUGGCGAGCGUUGUCCGGAUUUAUUGGGUUUAAAGGGUGCGUAGGCGGCCCCGUAAGUCAGUGGUGAAAUACGGCAGCUCAACUGUCGAGGUGCCAUUGAUACUGCGGGGCUUGAGUACAGUCGAGGUAGGCGGAAUUGACGGUGUAGCGGUGAAAUGCUUAGAUAUCGUCAAGAACACCGAUAGCGAAGGCAGCUUGCUAGGCUGUAACUGACGCUGAGGCACGAAAGUGCGGGGAUCAAACAGGAUUAGAUACCCUGGUAGUCCGCACAGUAAACGAUGGUCACUCGGUGUUGGCGGUACACGGCCAGCGCCUUAGCGAAAGCGUUAAGUGACCACCUGGGGAGUACGCCCGCAAGGGUGAAACUCAAAUGAAUUGAGGCUGAGACGNGCGAGACGACACGAGGGAGGAGG